CAGUCGCCACGGGAAUACGUAGGUGGCAAGCGUUGUCCGGAAUUAUUGGGCGUAAAGCGCGCGCAGGUGGUUUAAUAAGUCUGAUGUGAAAGCCCACGGCUCAACCGUGGAGGGUCAUUGGAAACUGUUAAACUUGAGUGCAGGAGAGAAAAGUGGAAUUCCUAGUGUAGCGGUGAAAUGCGUAGAUAUAUGGAGGAACACCGGUGGCGAAAGCGGCUCUCUGGCUUGUAACUGACGCUGAGGCUCGAAAGCGUGGGGCGCAAACAGGAUUAGAUACCCGCGUAGUCCCUGUCUCUUAUAC
rnacentral:rRNA from 1 species